rnacentral:rRNA from 1 species
CACGUAGGGCGCAAGCGUUGUCCGGAAUUAUUGGGCGUAAAGAGCUCGUAGGCGGUCUGUUACGUCUGCUGUGAGAACCCGGGGCUUAACCCUGGGCUUGCAGUGGAUACGGGCAGACUAGAGGCAGGUAGGGGAGAAUGGAAUUCCCGGUGUAGCGGUGAAAUGCGCAGAUAUCGGGAGGAACACCGGUGGCGAAGGCGGUUCUCUGGGCCUGACCUGACGCUGAGGAGCGAAAGCGUGGGGAGCGAACAGG